rnacentral:rRNA from 1 species
CGUAGGUGGUAGUGCAAGUCUGGGGUGGAAUCUUAGGGCUUAACCCUAAAAACUGCCUUGGAAACUGCAUUACUUGAGUCAGUGAGGGGAGGGUGGAAUUCCUGGUGUAGCGGUGAAAUGCGUAGAUAUCAGGAGGAAGGCCUGUGGCGAAGGCGGCCCUCUGGCGCUGAACUGACACUGAGGCGCGAAAGCGUGGGUAGCAAACAGGAUUAGAUACCCUGGUAGUCCACGCCCUAAACGGUGGGUACUAGGUGUAGGGCUCGUAAGGGUUCUGUGCCGAAGGGAAACCAUUAAGUACCCCGCCUGGGGAGUACGGCCGCAAGGUUGAA